ACAUGCAAGUCGAGGGGCAGCAUGAACUUAGCUUGCUAAGUUUGAUGGCGACCGGCGCACGGGUGAGUAACACGUAUCCAACCUGCCGAUGACUCGGGGAUAGCCUUUCGAAAGAAAGAUUAAUACCCGAUGGCAUAGUUCUUCCGCAUGGUGGAACUAUUAAAGAAUUUCGGUCAUCGAUGGGGAUGCGUUCCAUUAGGUUGUUGGCGGGGUAACGGCCCACCAAGCCUUCGAUGGAUAGGGGUUCUGAGAGGAAGGUCCCCCACAUUGGAACUGAGACACGGUCCAAACUCCUACGGGAGGCAGCAGUGAGGAAUAUUGGUCAAUGGACGAGAGUCUGAACCAGCCAAGUAGCGUGAAGGAUGACUGCCCUAUGGGUUGUAAACUUCUUUUAUACGGGAAUAAAGCGAGGCACGUGUGCCUUUUUGUAUGUACCGUAUGAAUAAGGAUCGGCUAACUCCGUGCCAGCAGCCGCGGUAAUACGGAGGAUCCGAGCGUUAUCCGGAUUUAUUGGGUUUAAAGGGAGCGUAGGCGGACGCUUAAGUCAGUUGUGAAAGUUUGCGGCUCAACCGUAAAAUUGCAGUUGAUACUGGGUGUCUUGAGUACAGUAGAGGCAGGCGGAAUUCGUGGUGUAGCGGUGAAAUGCUUAGAUAUCACGAAGAACUCCGAUUGCGAAGGCAGCUUGCUGGACUGUAACUGACGCUGAUGCUCGAAAGUGUGGGUAUCAAACAGGAUUAGAUACCCUGGUAGUCCACACAGUAAACGAUGAAUACUCGCUGUUUGCGAUAUACAGUAAGCGGCCAAGCGAAAGCGUUAAGUAUUCCACCUGGGGAGUACGCCGGCAACGGUGAAACUCAAAGGAAUUGACGGGGGCCCGCACAAGCGGAGGAACAUGUGGUUUAAUUCGAUGAUACGCGAGGAACCUUACCCGG
rnacentral:rRNA from 1 species